UGCUUCUGUUUGUACACUUUGGACUUUGCAAGCUGAGCCUCUGAUGAGCCAUAAUGGCUCAUUAUUGUGUGGAUGCAUUUAAUUCUUCAUAAGUUUUAUGAUGCAAAAUAGCACGUUGGGCUUGUUCUGUGAGCAUUAACAGUGUAUUCUUUUGGAAAGCAUGAAGGAAAUGGAGAUCCUGGAUUGUCUUUCUUGGCCAGGUCAUCUUCAGAGUAGAUCUUGGAUAUCCUUGGGAAUACCACAUGAGGACACCAUUAUUCUCUUCCAGCCAUCCCAUGGAAAUGUUUAUUUUACAGAUGGCCAGCUUGACCUACUGACUUUAGAAUAGGAAGUUACUCCUAUGUCUCAGUUUAUCAUAACACGGUUAAACAAGUGCAGCACAAGUCAUUCCGAAGAACCGAGACAGACGUUCCAAGUCAAAAGUUUAAUAAGAGUUGUCUUCAAGGAGAACCUCCUGUAACAAGGGCACUUGAAUUCAAAUGCAAUUGAUCACCUUCUGGAGCAAAACCAGUACAACAGGAAGUUAAGCUGGAGCUGAAGCAUCGAGCUGCUGCUUCCACAGCAGCAGCACAAUCCUUUGUGCACUCCUGUGACUUCUUUGACACUGAGAGUGUUGGAAUUCGGUGGAGUGGGAAAGAAAGCCAGCAGUGUGAAUUGCAACGUGACAGCAGAUUUACUGGUUAGUCAUUUCUCAAAUUUCUGUAAGAUGUUGCACUGAUAAUUAGGAAAAUAUUGAUUUCUCUCACAUAGAAAGCAACAUUUAGAAAAUAUUCUCCUCCCUUUAUUACUGUUUAAGUCACACAAAAAGAUUGUAUACAACAACAGAUUAUCUCCGUUUUGACCAAGUAGGAACCAGAAGAGUGUAAGCAUUUAAACUACUGCUAGGAUAGCAAUGAACUUUAAAAAAUUCUACCAGGAAAAACAAAUCACAUGGUUGAGCAGUUUUGAUUUUAAAUCUGGAUGGGUGAAGGAAGGAAAUUAUUAUUAUUUUGAAUAACACAUACUAAUUAUGCAAAAUCCUAGCACAGAAUGGCCUCUGUAAGCAAAAUCAUACCUACAUAUCAUUAACCUCACAUUUUUAUUAAGGGCAAAAGAAGAAGCACAUUAUGUGUAAUACCAAGAAUUUAAUUUAAACCCAAAUGGAAAUUUUACUGUCUAAUUAAAUAGUGUUUAUUAUCCCACUGAAGUCAUCAUUGAAAAAAAUAAGUACUUUAAAAGAAAAAAUACAAUACUAUAGACCUGUGAUAUUCAUGCUUCUUAGUAUCUGUUACUUCUCCUGAAAUCUGUUACUUCCUCAGAAAUAAGAGUGGAUCAUGCAGCUCAAACCUUUAGCCAUGAAGAAUAUGAUCUUUUUGAUUUCUCCUGUCUCACCUUGAGAUCCUCUUGGGUAAUACUUCUGUGUUUGCUAACGUGUCAUGCACCUUGCUUGCUCUUUACUGAGUAGUUCAUGGUGCAGCUGAAUUUCCUAGAAUUCCUAGAAUUCAUGGGCUAUUUCACAUAAGCUGCAUGCUUGUUCUCUGUUUUCUUUGUACCUCUGCAGGUACAAAGGUGCUGCUCAGCUGUCAGUCUGCAUUUCUCCAGCUGACCUUUGGUGAGUUGUGGAUAGUGCAAAGGGUCCUCUGUGAGUCUGACCCAUCCCUUACCAUCCCAUGAACUUCUCUAGACCAUCUCCUAUGGACCCACUUUCCAAGGUGCUAUCAUACCAUGUGUUUUACAGAGAAUAUCUGCAUAAAACUAUUGUACCAUACAAAGAUAAGCAAAAAUAAAGCAAAUUAAGCAUAA